rnacentral:lncRNA from 1 species
GAAUCCACCGGGGUGCAGCGAGGCUGUGGAAAGUCCCACCCAGAACGUGAGGUGAAGAAGGCUUGGGCUGCGCUGGUUCUGCUCUGUCCGGGUCGGAGAUGAACUGACCCGGGAGAGCAGCGGAGGGAUGUUUCUUUUGGCCAACAGUGGGGACUCACCUGCACGUUUUGCGAAGAGGCCCACAGUCCUUUGCGUGGCGCUCGGACUACAUUUCCCAACGGCCCCUGCACGCCCUGGGGGCUGUUCCAUGCGGUGUUGCGCCUGCGUAGCCGGCGGGCUGGCAGUGAGACUGACUGCGUCGGGGUUGAGACUGGGUGGAUGAGGCUCACCCCGGCGGGGAGAAGGGACGAGGAGGGGCGGACAGCGGAAGGUCCGGGAGUGUCCGCCAUAAAGUCGUUUGAGUUUUAACUUCUAGUCAUGGCGAAUGAUCGCAGGAGAGCACAGACUGGACCCUGCUACGAUCUCUCUUGGAGUGGAUCAGACUGAUGAUCACCAACAACCAACUCAUUCCCGGAUAAGGAAGAAGAGAGUGUCACCUACUUCAGUGUGGUUUCAACCCUACUUCUGCAUCUUAAAGACACUUGAACACUUGUGCUCCUUCCAACUUUGGGCUGUUGGGUGUCCUGCCACUGUUGCUCCUAGUGCUCAAUCUCGUUUAUUCCCUCCUAAUCAAGUGUACAACGUUGGACACUGUGCAGGAUGAUGCCACUUCAUCUUGGAUGCUAAUCUGCCAUGUUGACUUCUGAUUAACCCCAGGCCCAGGAAUGCCUCAAGAUUUCUACUUUACUUACUGUUGCUUGUGUAAGCCAAGACAACCUUGAUGUUAUCAUAAACAUGUACUUACCUAAGUCCUGUCCUUUGGCAAAUUAUGGGCUAUGAGACACAGCAUUCUUGCCUUUCCCUGAGGGGUCAAUUUCAGCGAUCCUACACAUUCCUUCUGAAGCACUUAUGCUCUUUCUAUAUGGUAUGUAAGCUCUCGGUCUGGGGAGUAACAGUGCAGAGAUCUACCUGUCUUGUUGCCACAUGUUUCUAAACUUUCCAAUAAAUCACCUUCUACUGAC